rnacentral:rRNA from 1 species
GACGAACGCUGGCGGCGUGCUUAACACAUGCAAGUCGAACGGAAAGGCCCUGCUUUUGUGGGGUGCUCGAGUGGCGAACGGGUGAGUAACACGUGAGUAAACUGUCCUUGACUUUGGGAUAAAUUCAGGAGACUGGGGCUAAUACCGGAUAGGAGCUACUGCUGCAUGGUGGGGGUUGGAAAGUUUCGGCGGUGGGGGAUGGACUCGCGGCUUAUCAGCUUGUUGGUGGGGUAGUGGCUUACCAAGGCUUUGAGGGGUAGUCGGCCUGGGAGGGUGACCGGCCACCUUGGUACUGAGAUACGGCGCAGUCUCCUACAGGAUGCAGCAGUCGAAAAUAUUGCACAACGGCCGCAAGCCUGAUGCAGCAACCCCCCGUGCGUGAUGCCGGCCUUCUGGUUGUGAACCGCUUUCGCCUGUGACGAAGCGUGAUUGACGUUAAUAAGUAAAGAAGCACCGGCUAACUACGUG